AAUCGAACUCGGAGAUAGCUGGUUCUCCUCGAAAUAGCUUUAGGGCUAGCGUCAUGUAAAAUAGCCAACGGGGGUAGAGCUCUGUAAACGACUGGGGCGGGCAACUGUACCCACCGUUAACAAACUACGAAUACCGUUGGUGGUACCAUGGCAGUUAGAACAUCGGGGCUAAGCUCGGUGCUCAAAAGGGAAACAGCCCAGACCAUCAUCUAAGGUCCCUAAAUUAACACUAAGUGGGAAACAAGGUGAAAUUUCUUAAACAGCGAGGAUGUUGGCUUAGAAGCAGCCAUUCAUUUAAAGAGUGCGUAACAGCUCACUCGUCAAGAGAUUUUGCGUGGAAAAUGUAACGGGGCUAAAGUGUUAUACCGAAGAUAUGGAUUUCGUUAUUCCUACGGGUUUAACGGAGUGGUAGAGGAGCGUUCCUAUCGGCAGUGAAGCUCAAUCGUAAGGUUGGGUGGAGCGUUAGGAAGUGAGAAUGCUGGAAUGAGUAACCAUAAGAAAGGUGAGAAUCCUUUCGGCCGUAAGAGCGAGGUUUCCAGGGCUACUGUAAUAAUCCCUGGGUUAGUCGGGCCUAAGCCGAGGCGUAGCAGCGUAGGCGAUGGACAUCAGGUUAAUAUUCCUGAACCGGUUAUAAUUUGUAUACUGUGUACGGUAAAUUAGUCGAAGCGGAUUAUUGGUAUAUAUCCGUCCAACUUAGCGGGAACGCAAAAGGAGUGAAAGUUAAUCUACGGAUUAACGAUUUUGAUGAAAGUACUGGCUAGAAAAGCAGAUAUACGCGUGGUUAUAGCCGCCCGUACCGCAAACCAACACAGGUGCUCGAGUCGAGUAGACUCAGGCUUACGAGAGACCCUUCGCUAAGGAACUCGGCAAAACAGCGACCGUAACUUCGGGAUAAGGUCUGCCUCCGCAUCAUUCGAUGCGAGUCGUGUUUCAAGCAAUUAGGUUAAGAUUAAUGGUAUAUAUGAGUAUCUUAAACUUCUUUACCGAGAUAGAACAAGUCAAAUGGCUUAGCUUGGAACGCGGCAACCUCGUAUCAAACGAUGCGGAGGCCGCAGCAAAAGAGCCCACGGAACUGUUUACCAAAAACACAGGUCUCUGCUAACACGAAAGUGGAUGUAUAGGGGCUGACUCCUGCCCAAUGCUGGAAGGUUAAGGGGAGCGCUUCACGGUGCGAACUGAAGCCCUAGUCAAUGGCGGCGGUAACUAUAACCGUCCUAAGGUAGCGAAAUUCCUUGUCAGGUAAGUUCUGACCCGCACGAAUGGAGUAAUCAUGUGGGCACUGUCUCGGCGAAGGACUCGGUGAAAGUGCAUUGGCGGUAAAGAUGCCGUCUGUCCAUGCCAGGACGAGAAGACCCCAUGGAGCUUUACUACAGCUUUACAUUGACACGGGUUACAUCAUGUGUAGCAUAGGUGGGAGGCUUUGAAGCAGAUACGCCAGUAUUUGUGGAGCCACAGGUGAAAUACCACCCUUGAUGUAGUCUUUGUCUUACCAUUGCCGUUAUCCGGUAAUGGGACCGUGUAUGGUGGGUAGUUUAACUGGGGCGGUUGCCUCCUAAAGAGUAGCGGAGGCGUUCAAAGGUUGGCUAGCUUCGGAUGGAAAUCGAAGUGAUAGUGCAUGCGCAAAAGCCAGCUUGACUGCGAGAAUUACAAUUCGACCAGAGUGGAAACACGGAGCAAGUGACCCGCUGUAAGAACAUUGUUCAUUGAAUGUGGGAUCGACAGCGCACACGGAUAAAAGUUACCCUGGGGAUAACAGGCUUAUCGCGCCCAAUAGUUCACAUAGACGGCGCGGUUUGGCACCUCGAUGUCGGCUCAUCACAUCCUGGAGGGGGAGCACCUUCCAAGGGUUCGGCUGUUCGCCGAUUAAAGUGGUACGCGAGCUGGGUUCAGAACGUCGUGAGACAGUUCGGUUUAUAUCCGGCAUGGACGUAAGGAUUCUUGAGGAGAUUUGUCUCUAGUACGAGAGGACCGAGAUGAACGAACCUCUGGUGUAUCGAUUGUGGCCACCUGCUGCAGUGUCGAGUAGCUAUGUUCGGUUAAGAUAAGCGCUGAAAGCAUAUUAAGCGCGAAACUGACUCCAAGAUUAGGAAUCCCAUGAGGACACAGAAAGAUGAUCUGUUUGAUAGGCGCAAGGUGUAAACCUGGUAACAGGCUAGCCGAAGCGUACUAAUAGUCCAAUCGCCUUUUUA
rnacentral:rRNA from 1 species